rnacentral:lncRNA from 1 species
AAGGAACGUCCGUUUGAUCUCUGGUUCCAGUGGCUUCCAUAGCACUGGAGCUGGGGAACCUCUUUUUACUAGUCUUGUUUUAUCUCUUUUCUUUAGUAUUUUCAUGAAUUUCUUCCAACGGAAUCAAUUCUAGUUUUUCAGAUCUAGGUUUUUGAAGCUUAAAUCUUUUCAUCUUUGUGUUCUUGUAUUCUCAGCUUCUGAUCUGGCCGUAUCCUUCCUUGGCAGAGGCAGUUUUCAACCGGUUCUUCACUGCCUCAGAUGAAGAAAAUUCACCAUCGUAGAUCUAGAUCUUCUUCCUUUCUUCAAGAGACGAUCCUUGAGUCUCUAGAUUUUGGAUGUGUCUCACCGCCUCCGUGGCUCCUCUGUGGAGCUUUAUAAAGAGGAUCGCACGGCACUUUCAAUUAGUUCCAACUUGUGGUAAAGGAGAUUCUUGUAUUUUAUCCCGUUUGUGUGUUUUUCUUUAUCUCAGAUUUGAUUAAAUUUUCUAAAAGUUUAGGUUUUGUAAGUCUUUUUUUGGGUUUCUAGAUUCUGAUCCGGGAAGUAUUUAUGGUUGUAGUUGGUUUGUUUGGGUUUUUUCCCCUUUGUUUACCUUGUUUGGUCUUUGUCUCUGGGAGUGUUCUUGUACUCGCCAGCUUAUGUCUCUGGAAGAGUUUAUCUCUUGCCGGCUUUGUGUACUAAAACCGCAUCCUACCCUUGUAACCUUCAAUCGUAUAAUAUAAUGUAAUAAUUCAGACGAAAAAAAAAAAAAAAGUCAUUUCUUCCAAAUUUGCUCUUAUUCUUUAUAAAUUCAUUUAUUCCCC